rnacentral:rRNA from 1 species
GACGAACCGUGCAAACGUUGUUCGGAUUCACUGGGCUUAAAGGGCGCGUAGGCGGACGGUCAAGUCGGGGGUGAAAUCUUUCCGCUUAACGGGAAAGUGCCUCCGAUACUGAUCGUCUCGAGGGAGGUAGGGCAUGUGGAACUUCCGGUGGAGCGGUGAAAUUCGUAGAUAUUCGGAAGAACACCAGUGGCGAAGGCGACUCGCUGGACAAGUAUUGACGCUGAGGUGCGAAAGCGUGGGGAGCAAACAGGAGUUAGA